rfam:Ictidomys tridecemlineatus contig044239, whole genome shotgun sequence.
GUGGGUGGAGCUCAGUGGUAGAGCAUUUGCCUAGCUCGCGGGAGGCCCUGGGUUUGAUCCCAGCACUAACA